GUCCGCGUGGCCUAAUUGAUAAGGCGACUGACUUCGAAUCAGAAGUUUGCAGGUUCGAAACCUGUCGCGGACG
rnacentral:tRNA from 1 species